rnacentral:tRNA from 1 species
UACGGGAUGGUCGAUAAAGUCGGUAGAUUGUAAAUCUAUGAAUGAGUGCAUAUACUCUUCCGUAA